rnacentral:lncRNA from 1 species
AUUCAAAUAGCAAAGUCUAUGCAAUUAACAAAUAUGUACUUAUUAAGCUUCAUGUAAAUUAUUUAACAAUGAAAUACAUUAAAUAUGAAAUUUGGAGUUUUACCAAGGGAGCUAAUAAUUAAUUAAUAACACUGUCUGCCACACAGCAUUUCGGGGGCUCUCCCUCUGGUAUCUUUCCUCCCUCUUUUAUAGCUGACUAUGUGGGGC